rnacentral:ncRNA from 1 species
AUAUAAAUAAAUUUUUAUGAUUUAUAAAAAUUUUUUUUAAAAUUUAUUUUACAUAUAAAUUUUAGUGUAAAUUUUUAAAUAUUUUAAGAAUAUUUAAUUUUAUUAAAUUAGUAAUUAAUAUUAAAAAUUUAAGAAAUUAAGAUUUAGUAAUAUUAAAAUUAAUAACAAAUUUUGUGCCAGCAGUUGCGGUUAUACAAAAGUUAAAUUAAAUUUUAUUAGUAAUAAUUAAUAUAAAAUAAUUUAAUUUAAAUAUUAAAUUAAUAAGUGAAAUUUUAAUUUAAUUAAAAAUUAUAAUAAAAAUUGUAUGAUUUAAUAAAUUUUAAUAUAAACUAGGAUUAGAUACCCUAUUAUUAAAAAUUUAAAUUUAAAAUACUAAAAUAGUAAAUAAUUAUUUAUUUAAACUUAAAUAAUUUGGCGGUAUUUUAGUUCAUUUAGAGGAAUCUGUUUAUUAAUUGAUAAUCCACGAAUAAUUUUACUUAGUUUAUAAUUUUGUAUAUCGUUGUUAAAAAAAUAUUUUUAAAUAAAUUUAAUAUUUUAAAAUUUAAAAAGAAAAUUAAAUCAGAUCAAGAUGCAGAUAAUAAUUAAGAAUAUAAUGGAUUACAAUAAAUUUAUUUAUAUGAAUAUUAAAUUGAAAAAUUUAAUUGAAAGUGGAUUUAAAUGUAAUUUUAUUUAAUUUAAUAAAAUGAUUUUAAAUUAAAAUAUGUACAUAUUGCCCGUCGCUUUCAUUAAUAAGUUGAAAUAAGUCGUAACAAAGUAGAGGUACUGGAAAGUGUUUCUAGAAAGAA